GAUCAUGGCUCAGGACGAACGCUGGCGGCGUGCCUAAUACAUGCAAGUAGAACGCUGAAGGAGGAGCUUGCUUCUCCGGAUGAGUUGCGAACGGGUGAGUAACGCGUAGGUAACCUGCCUGGUAGCGGGGGAUAACUAUUGGAAACGAUAGCUAAAUACCGCAUAAUAGUAGAUGUUGCAUGACAUUUGCUUAAAAGGUGCAAUUGCAUCACUACCAGAUGG
rnacentral:rRNA from 1 species